rnacentral:lncRNA from 1 species
UGGAUCCUGACUCAGAGGGAGGAGAAGGAGAAGGGUUUGAUGGGGUGGUUGGUGGGGUGCCACUUGGGGUUGUUGGGGGGGUCCCACUAGCAGCAGCCACAUUAAUUUGCAGCUUCAUGCCUCCAGCACAGUGGCCUGAAAUGGGGCACAAGAAGUACCUUUUGCCUGGUGAAGUCAAUUCAAUCUUGGAGUUUCCAUCUUGGUAGUUCUUGAUGCUGUUGCUUGAGCUGCAGCUGUUGU